rnacentral:rRNA from 1 species
AGACUGGGAUAACUCCGGGAAACCGGGGCUAAUACCGGAUGCUUGUUUGAACCGCAUGGUUCAAACAUAAAAGGUGGCUUCGGCUACCACUUACAGAUGGACCCGCGGCGCAUUAGCUAGUUGGUGAGGUAACGGCUCACCAAGGCAACGAUGCGUAGCCGACCUGAGAGGGUGAUCGGCCACACUGGGACUGAGACACGGCCCAGACUCCUACGGGAGGCAGCAGUAGGGAAUCUUCCGCAAUGGACGAAAGUCUGACGGAGCAACGCCGCGUGAGUGAUGAAGGUUUUCGGAUCGUAAAGCUCUGUUGUUAGGGAAGAACAAGUACCGUUCAAAUAGGGCGGUACCUUGACGGUACCUAACCAGAAAGCCACGGCUAACUACGUGCCAGCAGCCGCGGUAAUACGUAGGUGGCAAGCGUUGUCCGGAAUUAUUGGGCGUAAAGGGCUCGCAGGCGGUUCCUUAAGUCUGAUGUGAAAGCCCCCGGCUCAACCGGGGAGGGUCAUUGGAAACUGGGGAACUUGAGUGCAGAAGAGGAGAGUGGAAUUCCACGUGUAGCGGUGAAAUGCGUAGAGAUGUGGAGGAACACCAGUGGCGAAGGCGACUCUCUGGUCUGUAACUGACGCUGAGGAGCGAAAGCGUGGGGAGCGAACAGGAUUAGAUACCCUGGUAGUCCACGCCGUAAACGAUGAGUGCUAAGUGUUAGGGGGUUUCCGCCCCUUAGUGCUGCAGCUAACGCAUUAAGCACUCCGCCUGGGGAGUACGGUCGCAAGACUGAAACUCAAAGGAAUUGACGGGGGCCCGCACAAGCGGUGGAGCAUGUGGUUUAAUUCGAAGCAACGCGAAGAACCUUACCAGGUCUUGACAUCCUCUGACAAUCCUAGAGAUAGGACGUCCCCUUCGGGGGCAGAGUGACAGGUGGUGCAUGGUUGUCGUCAGCUCGUGUCGUGAGAUGUUGGGUUAAGUCCCGCAACGAGCGCAACCCUUGAUCUUAGUUGCCAGCAUUCAGUUGGGCACUCUAAGGUGACUGCCGGUGACAAACCGGAGGAAGGUGGGGAUGACGUCAAAUCAUCAUGCCCCUUAUGACCUGGGCUACACACGUGCUACAAUGGACAGAACAAAGGGCAGCGAAACCGCGAGGUUAAGCCAAUCCCACAAAUCUGUUCUCAGUUCGGAUCGCAGUCUGCAACUCGACUGCGUGAAGCUGGAAUCGCUAGUAAUCGCGGAUCAGCAUG